rnacentral:lncRNA from 1 species
GCCACUGCAUUCCAGCCUGGGCAACAGACUGAGACCCUGCCUCAAAAGAAAAAAAGAAAAAAAAAAAAGGAGAGCGCGUACUGUUGCGGAAGGGGCACUGCUCGAGAAACAGAGACGAAGGGAUGAUUUUCAAGUAAUCAAGACACCGAGAAAGACAAGAUUGGGGAUGGAAGAGCAGUAAGAAUUAAUGGAGACGUCCAAGAAUUGUAGUUCGGGCGCGGUGGCUCAUGCCUGUAAUCCCAGCACUUUGGGAGGCUGAGCUGGAGUCUCACUCUGUUGCCCAGGCUGGAGUGCAGUGGCACGAUCUCAGCUCACUGCAAGCUCCGCCUCCCGGAUUCAAGCGAUUCUCCUGCCUCAGCCUCCCGAGUAGCUGGGACUACAGAUGGAGUUUCGCUCUUGUUGCCAGGCUGGAGUACAGUGGCCUGAUCUCGGCUCACUGCAACCUCUGCCUCCUGGGUUUAAGCAAUUCUCCUGCCUUAGCUUCCUCCUGAGUAGCUUGGAUUACAGGCAUGCGUCACCAUGCCCGGCUAAUAUUGUAUUUUAAUAGAGACGGGAUUUCACCAUGUUGGCCAGGCUGGUCUCGAAGUCCUGACCUCAAGUGAUCCGCCCGCCUCAUCCUCUCAAAGUGCUGGGGUUACAGGCAUUAGCCCUCACGCCUGGCCAAAUGCAGUCUUUUCACCACCUUUUUGGAUCACAGAAAAUGACCAUGAAGCUAUGGAAAAAAGGGAGAGUUGAAUUUAAGAUUAGCUGUCAGCCCAUCUUUCAUUAGCCAUUUCUCUAAUCCAGUCUUGAAUUUUCCUCUUUCUAGUAAUAUGGAGGGUAGCACUAUGUUCAAAGCGGCCACUGGGGAUUUAGGUAUUUUAAUAUCUGUACUAUGUUUCUAGAUAAGUAAAAUAACCAGGUGAAUUUAUCAGCCCACAGUGAACCUGGGGAACAGUUUAUUGAACUAGUGCCCUUAAGUAGAGGACAUUCUCAACAUUGCUAAGUUUAUCUCCCAUUCCCUAUAUCAUGGAAUGAGAGAAAUUUGGAGAAAAAAUUUCUAUUUCCUAAUCUCAGCUUUUUUUUUUUUUUUUUUUCCGAGACAGAGUAUCGAGCUGUCGCCCAGGCUGGAGUGCAAUGGCAUGAUCUUGGCUCACUGCAACCUCUGCCUCCCGCGUUCUAAGUGAUUCUCCUUCCUCAGCCUCCCGAAUAGCUGGGAUUAUAGGCACGCACCAUCAUGCAUGGCUAAUUUUGUAUUUUUAGUAGAGAUGGGGUUUCCCCAUGUUGGCCAGGCUGGUCUCGAACUCCUGAUCUCAGGUUAUCCACCCGCCUCAGCCUCUCCAAGUGCUGGGAUUACAAGUGUGAGCCACCGCACCCCGCCCUAAUCUCAGCCUUUUUAUAUCUUCUUGGUAGGCCCACUUUUUGGCAUCCCCUAACAAGAAGUCCUCAGAGAUUUUUACUACUCAACAUGUGUGCGUCCCACUCAGAUGUAUUGUGUUCUUUCUGUUCACCCUCUACUUCCCAUUCCAUUUCUUCCUCUGACUUAGGGUUAGAAUGGCCCAAUGAUCCUACAACUUUUUGAUGCUAUUUCAUUUGAUUCCUCUACUGUCUAAAUCACAAGUUGGCUAACUUUACUUACUGUAAGGGAUCAGAUAGCAAAUAGUUUAGGCCUUGUGGGCCAUUCAAUCUGUCAUAACUACCCACUCUGACCAUAUGUAGUGCAAAAGCAGCCCUUGACAAUAUAUAAAUGAAUGAACGUGAAUGUAUUUCAAUAAAGCUUUACUUGUGGACA